UACGUAGGGUGCAAGCGUUGUCCGGAAUUAUUGGGCGUAAAGAGCUCGUAGGCGGUUUGUCGCGUCUGCUGUGAAAACUCGGGGCUUAACUCCGGGCCUGCAGUGGGUACGGGCAGCCUAGAGUGCGGUAGGGGAGACUGGAAUUCCUGGUGUAGCGGUGAAAUGCGCAGAUAUCAGGAGGAACACCGGUGGCGAAGGCGGGUCUCUGGGCCGUAACUGACGCUGAGGAGCGAAAGCAUGGGGAGCGAACAGG
rnacentral:rRNA from 1 species